rnacentral:rRNA from 1 species
AAUUAAGCAUAUAAUUAAGCGGAGGAAAAGAAACUAACAAGGAUUCCCUCAGUAACGGCGAGUGAAGCGGGAAGUGCUCACCGUGUGAAUCUGUACAGGCUUGUCCUGUGCCGAGUUGUGGUAUAUAGAAACAAUAUAUUGAAUGAGUUGUGGGCUAAGUCCUUUGGAAAAAGGCAGCAGAGAGGGUGAUACUCCCGUUCUUGCCUAAAACUCUUUAUUGUGUUCAACGAGUCGAGUUGUUUGGGAUUGCAGCUCAAAGUGGGUGGUAAAUUCCAUCUAAAGCUAAAUAUUGGUGGGAGACCGAUAGCGAACAAGUACCGUGAGGGAAAGAUGAAAAGAACUUUGAAAAGAGAGUUAAAGAGUACCUGAAAUUGCUGAAAGGGAAGCAAAGGAAACCAGUGUUGUGUUUACUCAUUCUUCUCCUGCUGCUUGCAACAGGAGCGCUGUGAGUUUGGACAGGCCAUCCUGGGUUUGACUCGGUGGAAUUUGCACCGGGCUGGACUCACGCUGGCGAAAUGGUUUUCUUUACCCCGUCUUGAAACACGGACCAAGGAGUCUAACAUAUGUGCGAGUAUAGAGGUGGCAAACCUCCAUGCGUAAUGAAAGUAACAGUGGUAGGAAUUUUGCACUAUCCGCCGGCCACAAUCGUUCGCGAGAAAGGUCUGAGUGUGAGCAUACAUGUUGGGACCCGAAAGAUGGCGAACUUUGCUUGGGUAGGGUGAAGCCAGGGGAAACUCUGGUGGAGGCUCGUAGGGGUUCUGACGUGCAAAUCGUUCGUA